rnacentral:rRNA from 1 species
AUUGAACGCUGGCGGCAGGCCUAACACAUGCAAGUCGAGCGGAUGAAGGGAGCUUGCUCCUGGAUUCAGCGGCGGACGGGUGAGUAAUGCCUAGGAAUCUGCCUGUUAGUUGGGGAUAACGUCCGGAAACGGGCGCUAAUACCGCAUACGUCCUGAGGGUGAAAGUGGGGGAUCUUCGGACCUCACGCUAUCAGAUGAGCCUAGGUCGGAUUAGCUAGUUGGUGGGGUAAAGGCCUACCAAGGCGACGAUCCGUAACUGGUCUGAGAGGAUGAUCAGUCACACUGGAACUGAGACACGGUCCAGACUCCUACGGGAGGCAGCAGUGGGGAAUAUUGGACAAUGGGCGAAAGCCUGAUCCAGCCAUGCCGCGUGUGUGAAGAAGGUCUUCGGAUUGUAAAGCACUUUAAGUUGGGAGGAAGGGCAGUAAGUUAAUACCUUGCUGUUUUGACGUUACCAACAGAAUAAGCACCGGCUAACUUCGUG